rnacentral:lncRNA from 1 species
AAAUCCAUAGUGCAAUCCCUUCCGGUCUUCACAAUGGGAGUAUUCAAACUCUCGGUCGGCUUCUGUGACAAAUACGAGCGAUUAAUCAGAGAAUUCUGGUGGGGUGAGGAGGAAGGGCGUAGGAAAGUCCACUGGACGGCAUGGGACCAACUGGUGAAACCAAAAAGGGCAGGAGGAAUUGGCUUUCGGGACAUGCAAAUUUUUAAUCAAGCACUUCUAGCAAGACAGGGAUGGAGGUUGCUACAACGACCUAAGAGCCUGUGUGCGAGGGUAUUAAAAUCAAAAUAUUACCCAAAUGGGGAACUCCUUGACACAUCCUUUGCUUCGGACGCCUCUCAAGCAUGGAAAGGUAUUGAGCACGGACUGGAGCUCCUCAAAAAAGGUCUAAUCUGGAGAGUCGGUAAUGGAAAAAGGAUUCAGAUCCAAAGGGAUCAAUGGAUACCCAGGAAAAGCGGACUGAAAGUGGCCACUUUCAAGAGACGGUCACGUUUGAGAUGGGUUAACCAGCUUCUAACCUCUGACGGCAAUGAAUGGAAUGUUAACCUUAUGAAGGAUCUGUUCCAUGGGUUUGAUGCAGAAGAAAUAUGCAAAAUUAAAUUGCCCAACACCAGCGCUGAGGAUUGUGUGGCCUGGCAUAGUGAGAAAAAUGGUAUAUUCACUGUCCGGAGUGCUUACAAACUGGGAUUCCAGCUUAAACAGCUAGUGGGGGCUGAUGCAUCAAGUUCAGUAUGCGAAGCCGACAAUAGAAGUAUUUGGGACUUAAUUUAGAAAUCCAAAUGCCCUGAGAAAAUUCGCAUUUUUGGGUGGCGAGUAGCAACUGAAACUUUGGCCACAAAGAAAAACAAAUGGAAAAGAACACUGGAGAUUGACAACAUUUGUAAUAUAUGUGAAAAGGAAACAGAGGACGAGUACCAUGCUACGGUCGCAUGCACCAAGGCCAGGGCGCUCCGCAUGGAGAUGAGAAAGGUCUGGGACCUACCGGCAGAAGAGAAGUUCAAAUAUACAGGGGUGGAUUGGCUACAACUGCUGCUGGACACAUGCAGUAUGGACGUACGGCAGAAAAUCAUGCUCUUGCUGUGGCGCGCAUGGUGGCUACGUGAGGACUGCAUUCAUGCAAAAGGAAGAGCGACGAUUGGGGCUUCAGUCCAAUUUUUAGUCAAAUACCACAAUGAGCUGGGCGUUGCAUACAUGGGCAACAACGAUCCGGAGGCAAAUAUGCAGGCCUCCAAUAUGGAUGUAUACUCUUGCUGUAGUCAGGCUCUAUCUGCAAGAGUUAAAAGGAAAAAGCCGAUCUUCGCUGGGAUUACUGCUCCCAUGGCUGACAGUUCAAUCACAAGCAGAAGCAACAGCCCCAAUAAUGCCACACUAUCAGAAAACGCUGACGAGACUGAGUGGUGGCUGCCGCCAGACAGCGGGACCUGGAAAUUAAACAGCGACGCAUCAUUCUUAAUUAGUACUGGAGAGACUUAUGCAGGCAUUGUUGUCAGAGAUUGUAACAGACGUGUUGCUCUGUCCAUCUGUAAAAAACUGACUCCAUGCAGCUCGUCCGAGGAAGCUGAAAUGGCCGCCAUCCUCUAUGGUUUAGCAGAAUUAAGGAAGCGCUAUUGGGGGAAGCUAUGUAUCGAGACGGACUGUGCAAAUGCAGCCACACUGCUGAAGAGCAAAGAUGCUAAUCUCUCCUCACUAUUCCCUUUGAUUACUGACGUGAGAUACCUUAUGCAUAGUUUUGAAGAGGUGUCAAUCAGCACAGUCAAACGAAACAGGAACAAAUUGGCUCAUGAAAUGGCCGCAUAUGCAAGGAGGACAGGGGAUGCUAUGUAUGUAGCAGAUGUCCCAUAUGACCUACGAGAGGUUCUAGCAAACGAGUGUAAUCCUGCCCUUGGGGCGAUGUAAGAUGGCAAUACGCCUUUUCUCAAAAAAAAUCUAGCCGGCUCAUGAAUUCCUCUUCCUGAAAAAUUCCAGAACCAGCCUCCAAUAGUCCCCAAACCAAAAUACCACAACCUGCAGCAAAAAGGAGAAGAAAAGACAGAUUUAGGAUGAGUCGAACUAAUCAGAGGGAGAAGGUAGCAGGGGAGGGAAAUUAUGCAGAUAGCAGCAGCCUAGGGGAGAAGAAUGGCUGAUGGAUCUUGUAUUGCCGGAGGAGGAAGAAGGGGAGAAGAUAUGGAGCGACGGACCUCUACCAUCCGCCGCCACGGUGCUCCCUCGGCUGCCAUUAAUUCCUAAAUGAAACGGAAAACUGCUCGACUCCUCGCCUUAAAAACACGACGGAUGAACUCUCCGCAUCGGCCGGUGAGGCCCGCGCUAGGUCGGUCGCUCGCCACUGCUUCAAGAGGCACCGCCUCGCCCUCCGGCCCACAUUCCGAGCCGCCUCUCGUACACGCGGUGGAUCAAAUCGGAGCUCAGAGACAGGAGGCGGUGGAGAUUGGGGCGCGGCUCGGAUCCGGGAGGCGGAGGUGAUCGGGGCACGGGCUUACCUGUAUCCCUCGUCGGUU